rnacentral:rRNA from 1 species
AUCGGGAACCUCGGUUCUCGCAUCACUUCUUAGAGGGACUUUGCGUGUCUAACGCAAGGAAGUUUGAGGCAAUAACAGGUCUGUGAUGCCCUUAGAUGUUCUGGGCUGCACGCGCGCUACACUGAUGCAUGCAACGAGUUUUUGACCUUGGCCGGAAGGUCUAGGUAAUCUUUUGAGUAUGCAUCGUGAUGGGGAUAGAUUAUUGCAAUUAUUAAUCUUCAACGAGGAAUGCCUAGUAGGCACAAGUCAGCAGCUUGUGCCGAUUACGUCCCUGCCCUUUGUACACACCGCCCGUCGCUGCAACCGAUCGAAGGGUCCUGUGAACUCGAUGGACAGCCCAUCCCCUUCUUGGGGUUGGGCUGGAAGUUGCGUAAAUAGAGCCCUUUAAAGGAUGCAAAAGUCGUAACACGGUUUCCGUAGGUGAACCUGCGGAAGGAUCAUUC